UAACAAGGUCUCCGUUGGUGAACCAGCGGAGGGAUCAUUACCGAGUUUACAACUCCCAAACCCCUGUGAACAUACCACUUGUUGCCUCGGCGGAUCAGCCCGCUCCCGGUAAAACGGGACGGCCCGCCAGAGGACCCCUAAACUCUGUUUCUAUAUGUAACUUCUGAGUAAAACCAUAAAUAAAUCAAAACUUUCAACAACGGAUCUCUUGGUUCUGGCAUCGAUGAAGAACGCAGCAAAAUGCGAUAAGUAAUGUGAAUUGCAGAAUUCAGUGAAUCAUCGAAUCUUUGAACGCACAUUGCGCCCGCCAGUAUUCUGGCGGGCAUGCCUGUUCGAGCGUCAUUUCAACCCUCAAGCACAGCUUGGUGUUGGGACUCGCGUUAAUUCGCGUUCCCCAAAUUGAUUGGCGGUCACGUCGAGCUUCCAUAGCGUAGUAGUAAAACCCUCGUUACUGGUAAUCGUCGCGGCCACGCCGUUAAACCCCAACUUCUGAAUGUUGACCUCGGAUCAGGUAGGAAUACCCGCUGAACUUAAGCAUAUCAAUAU
rnacentral:rRNA from 1 species